GGCCUCACUCUCCGGGCGGGUGCUGGACGGACGGACGGACGGGGCAGCCGUGCUCACAGCUCAGCAGCGCGGGGCCUUGGCGCGCGGGGCGCUUCCCCGGGUCGCCGUCAUGGCCGCGGAGGUGGCACGCCCGAGCGGCCUCGCCUGAGCUCCGGGGGUCGUCGCCCCGCAGGGUAGGUGUUUGGGUGCUCGCGGCUGCGGCGGGCGGGCUGGGGGCAGCGGUGGCCGUGCAUUGCCGCGCUGCGAGGACGGCGCUGGGUUCGCGGCCGCGAGGAGGGUGUGCCUUUGCCGCGCCGCCUACGUGCGGGUCCGGGCUCCGCGGGGCCGGGUGCGGGACCCCGCAGAUCGUCACCCGCAACCCAGGCAGCCCCACCGCGAGUGCCGCCGGACCCCCUGGACGCCGCUGCCAGAGGCGUUCGCGCCUAUCUGGUAUGAGGUCCACAGACCCGAUUCUUACAACCUGGCGCUCUAACCUCGCCAACGGGCCAGGAAAAAAACAGAACAAGGAAAAGAAGAAAAAGUCUGUUCCAAGUAAUAAUGGGACUAGACAGUAACUGUUUGCACUUUCGUCUCUUAUGGAAAAUAUGAUUAUUUUGAUGCUUUAGUAUUACAGACUGUAUCAGACAUACUCUUAAAAGUAUUUAAAAACGUGGGGUCCUAAAAAUUUCCUAGAUCGGGACAGCUGAUAAUGCGACUUCUGUUAGUCUCCGCAUCCAACUUUCAGGGCGGAAUGGGGAUUUCUACCUUUUACUGAAUAUACUCCUGUAAUUUUGAAUAUUUUUUCUCAUCAAAUGUGUUACUUUCAUGUUUUAGGAAACCAAUAAAAAUCAAAAAUAGAAACACCCAGCUUAGGUCCUCCUUCUUCCAGGAAUCCUCCUCUAACCCCUCCCUCCCAGGCAGGAUCGGAGGCCCCUCCCGGGUGCUUUCUGGGGCCUCACUGAGGUCCUGGUCCCCUAAGUCCUCCCCCGCAGCCCCUCCGCGUAUUAACCCACCGGUCUCGCUGGGCUCAGAGAUUGCUUACUUAGCACAUGGUAAGUGAUUAAUACUGUUUAAUGACCGAGGGAAAAGAUAAAAUGUUCUCUGAUGUUUCACGCUUUUCGCUCUGAAGUUAAAUAGUGGUAAAUUUAUAUGCGCUUAGAUAAGAACAUUUAACAGUUAAGGAUCUGGAAAAGUUGACGACGUCCGAUGUCCGUGUUUCCUGAUCCAGCAGUUGCACGCCUGGGUAUUCAUCCUUAAGAACAAUGUUUUUCAGAAUUUGAAGUCCAUUUUAGUGGGUCGUAAAGUCAUUUAAAUGGAUGAUCAGAAUUUGUAAAACACAGACGGAGAAUAGAACAUCAGUGUCUCUCAGGUCAUAGGGGUGUUCGCUUUAUGAAUCUCUCUCCCCCUCCUCAGUUUCAUACAUACACAAAUGUGUGUCAUGAUGUAAAACGUCAUUCCUUAGUAUGAGUCAUGGACAAAAAAGUUUGAAAGCCACUGCCCUAGAUAAAUUUUAAUACAUGUCCACAAGCAGACGUGUACAAGAAGGUUGACUGUAAUGGCAGAAAACUGGAUGCCGCCUUCAUGCCUACCUGAAGGAGAAAGAUAAAUUAUACACCACUCAUAAAAAGGGCACACUGUACAGUGGCCAAUGAAGUAUUUUUGUGUUUCAACACAAAUGCCUUUCAGUGUUGAACCAAAAAAAAAAAAAGUUGCCGGAGAAUGCUGUGUGAUAUCUUCUAUGUAAAAUUCAGAACCUGGUGGAGCAAAGCUGUUGUUUAGGGAUGCAUGUAUAGGCAUUAAAAGUAGUAAAGAAAAAAAGUCAAGCUAAUGGUCAUCUCCUAGUGGGGAGGAGAGGGUCAGGGGCUCAGAGAUGCUGGAAAUGCUUUAUCGCCUGACCUGUGCAAUGGUUACAUGGGUGUUUGCUUUGUAACUCUUUGUUAAAUGAUACACACUGGGUUUGAAUGUUACAUUUCCCCCCAAAUAUGUUAAAAUAUGGGUGUUGCAAACUGAAGAAGCCUGAGUCUAGGGCUCUCCGUCUGUUAUUCUUAUUUCCUGGCUUCUUUUUAGAAAAAAAAAAUCUUGCUCAGGGAGGAGUACCUAGGGAAUUUAUCAGUAAUGUUUUAUUUCAUAAAUUCCAUGGUGGACAUACCAGUAUUCAUUAAAUUAUUCUUUAUGUAUUCUUAUAACUUAAUUUAUAAUAUUUCAAAAAGCAUUUAGGAGAAAACAUCAUUUGGUGUGUUUGCUUUCCCAAAAGUCACAUUUACAUGUUUUGUACACAACUGGAAUAUUUUAUAUAGUAAUUUUAGCUAAAAUCAAAUUUUGUUAUGAAAAACGAAAUACUAAAAAGUAUAUAAAAAUCACAGAACUUUACAGACUUUCAGCGUUUUAAAAUGCUAACAUAUUGUAUUUACCUCAAUAAUUUCUGUUCCUCAGUUCUUUCAGGCCACAUUUUUAGUGCUCAAUAGCCUCAUAUGACUUUAAUAUUUUAUUAUAUUUUAUUAUGUUAUAUAUUUUACAUUAUACAUUAUAGAACAGAAUAUUUCCAUCAUUGCAGAAAUUUAUAUUGGAAAACAUUCUGGAUACAAAUAUUUGUUAUAUACUUGCAGAUAUUAAACUGUAGACAUUAAUCCUUAUGCUUUUUGUCUUAAGAUACUCUACUAUUAAUGAAAUGUAUUCUGAAUAUUUUUCUAAGAAUUUUUAAGUUUAUGUUUUGUCCACAUUUUGUUCUUUAAUUUACCUGAGACAUGUAUAUAUUGAGAUGUAUAUAUUUUAUGUUAUGAGAUCAAGCUUAAUUAAUUUUCAGAUUCCCACAUGAAAAGGUAAUUGUCCCAAUAUCAGUGAUUAGCAGUGCCACUUCUGUCACAUACAGUACCCAGAUAUGUUUGGGCUUAUUUCCAGGCUGUUAAUCCUGGUUUAUUUGUCAUUUGAAAAUACUGCAGAUUUUCAUUUACUGCUGCUUUCUAUGUAGUAUAUUGUUCAGUUCUAAGAAUUUAAGAUUUUUUCAUUGUGAUAUUUUUUCUUCCCCUAAGAGAUUUGUAGAAAGUAGUCUAGUUCCAAUGUGGAAGGUUUUGUGAGUUAUCCUUUUGUUACUGAUUUCUAAUUUGCACUGUAGUUAGCAUACGUGUCAAGGCCAACAAUUCUUUGAAAUUCGAGAAUUGCUUUAUGGUUUUAACUGCUCCUUGUAUCAUCAAGAAUAAUUUGUACUCACAGACUUUUGAGGCAAUGUAUGUAGGUGUGUGUAUAUAUAUAAUAUAUACACAUACACUUUAUAUAUAGAUUAUAUAUAAUCUCUCUGUAGAGUUUAUAUAAAAAUUAAAUAUAUUUAUAUAAAUGUAUAUAUAUAUAUGAAUAAAAUCUCCUGUCUCUAA
rnacentral:lncRNA from 1 species